rnacentral:rRNA from 1 species
CAAUAGCGUAUAUUAUUGAUGUUGCAGUUGAAACGUUCGUAGUCGAAUCUUAUCUGCCAAAUCAUCAUGUCAUUUAUGAUGACAUAAUGCUCUCGGCAGAGAUUGUACAAGCGUUUGCAUGUGUUUCACAUGUCUGACCUUGUAUCAUACUUUGAGUGAAUCGGCGUGUUCCACGCAGGCAUGUGCCUUGAACGAUUUACCAUAGCAUAAUCAGAGUAUGGAACUGCUUCCUUGUUUGUUCGGAAGCUCUUUCGAUACUGAUAGGAACGGUUAAGGGCAUUCGUAUUCGACUGCUAGAGGUGAAAUUCUUUGAUUAGUCGAGGACGAACCAUUGCGAAAGCAUCUGCCAAGGACGUUUCCUUUG